AGGAGCUUGCUCCUUUGACGUUGCGGCGGACGGGUGAGUAACACGUGGAUAACCUACCUAUAAGACUGGGAUAACUUCGGGAAACCGGAGCUAAUACCGGAUAACAUAUUGAACCGCAUGGUUCAAUAGUGAAAGGCGGCUUUGCUGUCACUUAUAGAUGGAUCCGCGCCGUAUUAGCUAGUUGGUAAGGUAACGGCUUACCAAGGCAACGAUACGUAGCCGACCUGAGAGGGUGAUCGGCCACACUGGAACUGAGACACGGUCCAGACUCCUACGGGAGGCAGCAGUAGGGAAUCUUCCGCAAUGGGCGAAAGCCUGACGGAGCAACGCCGCGUGAGUGAUGAAGGUCUUCGGAUCGUAAAACUCUGUUAUCAGGGAAGAACAAAUGUGUAAGUAACUGUGCACAUCUUGACGGUACCUGAUCAGAAAGCCACGGCUAACUACGUGCCAGCAGCCGCGGUAAUACGUAGGUGGCAAGCGUUAUCCGGAAUUAUUGGGCGUAAAGCGCGCGUAGGCGGUUUUUUAAGUCUGAUGUGAAAGCCCACGGCUCAACCGUGGAGGGUCAUUGGAAACUGGAAAACUUGAGUGCAGAAGAGGAAAGUGGAAUUCCAUGUGUAGCGGUGAAAUGCGCAGAGAUAUGGAGGAACACCAGUGGCGAAGGCGACUUUCUGGUCUGUAACUGACGCUGAUGUGCGAAAGCGUGGGGAUCAAACAGGAUUAGAUACCCUGGUAGUCCACGCCGUAAACGAUGAGUGCUAAGUGUUAGGGGGUUUCCGCCCCUUAGUGCUGCAGCUAACGCAUUAAGCACUCCGCCUGGGGAGUACGACCGCAAGGUUGAAACUCAAGGAAUUGACGGGACCCGCACAAGCG
rnacentral:rRNA from 1 species